rnacentral:rRNA from 1 species
AGAGUUUGAUCCUGGCUCAGGAUGAACGCUAGCGGCAGGCCUAAUACAUGCAAGUCGGACGGGAUUGGAGAGCUUGCUUUCCAUGAGAGUGGCGCACGGGUGCGUAACACGUAUGUAACCUACCCUUAUCAGGGGGAUAGCCUCUCGAAAGAGAGAUUAAGCCCGCAUAACAUGAAGACACAGCAUUGUGAUUUCAUCAAGUAUUUAUAGGAUAAGGAUGGGCAUGCGGAACAUUAGCUAGUUGGUAAGGUAAUGGCUUACCAAGGCUACGAUGUUUAGGGGAUCUGAGAGGAUGACCCCCCACACUGGUACUGAGACACGGACCAGACUCCUACGGGAGGCAGCAGUAAGGAAUAUUGGUCAAUGGGCGCAAGCCUGAACCAGCCAUGCCGCGUGCAGGAAGACGGCCCUACGGGUUGUAAACUGCUUUUGUACCGGA